GAAACAAAGAAGAAAACCUAAAGAAAGCAGGAAGCGCGCAAAAACUAGAAAGAAGACACUGACAAUUUGGAAAGUAACACAUGAACUAGGUUCUGUGCUACUUGAAAAAUAUCACCUAGAGUAUAGACACAAGCAAACAAUACUCCAGCAAUGUCAAGGAAAUAAAAACAAGCUUAAACCAAAAAGGAAACUUAGAAUUCAAAUAAAAACGAAUCUGGAAAAUUUUGAAUUUAAUUCACUUCAAAGUAAAUUAAAUAUGGAUCUAUUAAAAUCUACCCAAAAAGGCAAGUAUCAAGACCCACAAAUAGAGACANN
rnacentral:lncRNA from 1 species